UGGGCCUGGAAGCAAGAGAUGACUGAUAGCCUGUUGUUUGCUGUGCAGUUUGUGUUUCUUUAAAAAUAUAUUUUUAGACAUAUAUCUUAAACAGCCCCCAUCCGCGCUGUUUGGGGAUGACUUUUCAAAUGUUCCUGGCAGGGUGCUUCCUUACUGUGGUGCUGAAACCGCGGGAAGCCAUACGGAUAUUUUUGAGAGAUGAACAUCGCCUUUAAAAAUACCUGUGUGCAUAUUCCAGUGUGAUAAGAACUUCACAGGAUCAGAAGCAGCAAUGGAGAACUAAUGGCUGACCUUGCUGAAGAACAGCACACCCAGUGGCCUGUUUUGGAACUGUUUCUGCAGUAAACUAUCCCAGCAGCCUCAGCAGUAAACUAUCCCAGAGGCCUCUGCAUUCAGUCACAAGGGAAAUGUGGAUCACAAUGGAUCAGCAUUUCUGAAUCCAGAGCACAGAAGGAGAAUACCUCUGGGCCAGAAAGCUACAAGCCGCGCCCACACAGACGUACCCAGUGAGAGAGAGAAGAAAGCAGAACCAUCACUACACAAGAUGGAGGACGCUCUACCGCGUUUGAAAAUGAACCUCAGGGACGUGUCUGGUAGCACAUACUGAUCAGACGCCCUGUGAUUGGCCCUUGGAUGGCAAAUGUCUGAAAGUACAGCGUGUCCAUGGCAGCAUGUUGCUCGGGGCCUUUUGGAGGCUAUCGCCAAGGCUGUGACGUUGGGAUCGCCCACGUCUGGGUGGACGGCUGUCCUUCGCUAUGCUAAAAGACGUUCUGUUCGUUACACUUUCACACUCUUUUACGCUCGUUCAGGCCAGGCACGGAAACGCGGUGGAAUAAAUGAAGAUUAAACUGGUGAAAUAAC